rnacentral:tRNA from 1 species
AGCUCAGCUGGCUAGAGCAUCUCGUUUGCACCGAGAAGGUCAGGAGUUCGAAUCCCCUAGGGUCCACCA